UACGGAGGGUGCAAGCGUUGUCCGGAAUCAUUGGGCGUAAAGCGCGCGUAGGCGGCCCGGUAAGUCCGCUCUGAAAGUCCAGGGCUCAACCCUGGAAAGCGGGUGGAUACUGCCGGGCUAGAAUCCGGAAGAGGCGAGUGGAAUUCCUGGUGUAGCGGUGGAAUGCGCAGAUAUCAGGAGGAACACCGGUGGCGAAGGCGGGUCUCUGGGCAGUAACUGACGCUGAGGAGCGAAAGCGUGGGGGAGCGAACAGG
rnacentral:rRNA from 1 species